rnacentral:rRNA from 1 species
AAAGCUCAAAUUUAAAAUCUGGCGGCCCCUGUGACUGUCCGAGUUGUAAUCUAGAGAAGUGUUAUCCGUGCCGGACCGUGUACAAGUCUCUUGGAAUAGAGCGUCAUAGAGGGUGAGAAUCCCGUCUUUGACACGGACUACCGGUGCAUUGUGAUGCGCUCUCAACGAGUCGAGUUGUUUGGGAAUGCAGCUCAAAAUGGGUGGUAAAUUCCAUCUAAAGCUAAAUAUUGGCGAGAGACCGAUAGCGAA